rnacentral:rRNA from 1 species
GAGUUUGAUCCUGGCUCAGAUUGAACGCUGGCGGCAGGCUUAACACAUGCAAGUCGAACGGUAACAUGAGUGCUUGCACUUGAUGACGAGUGGCGGACGGGUGAGUAAAGUAUGGGGAUCUGCCGAAUGGAGGGGGACAACAGUUGGAAACGACUGCUAAUACCGCAUAAUGUUGAGAAACCAAAGCAUGGGACCUUCGGCCAUGCGCCAUUUGAUGAACCCAUAUGGGAUUAGCUAGUUGGUAGGGUAAAGGCUUACCAAGGCGACGAUCUCUGGCUGGUCUGAGAGGAUGACCAGCCACACUGGAACUGAGACACGGUCCAGACUCCUACGGGAGGCAGCAGUGGGGAAUAUUGCACAAUGGGGGGAACCCUGAUGCAGCCAUGCCGCGUGUAUGAAGAAGGCCUUCGGGUUGUAAAGUACUUUCGGUAAUGAGGAAGGUGGCGUAUCUAAUAGGUACGUUAAUUGACGUUAAUUACGGAAGAAGCACCGGCUAACUCCGUGCCAGCAGCCGCGGUAAUACGGAGGGUGCGAGCGUUAAUCGGAAUGACUGGGCGUAAAGGGCAUGUAGGCGGAUAAUUAAGUUAGGUGUGAAAGCCCUGGGCUCAACCUAGGAAUUGCACUUAAAACUGGUUAACUAGAGUAUUGUAGAGGAAGGUAGAAUUCCACGUGUAGCGGUGAAAUGCGUAGAGAUGUGGAGGAAUACCGGUGGCGAAGGCGGCCUUCUGGACAGAUACUGACGCUGAGAUGCGAAAGCGUGGGGAGCAAACAGGAUUAGAUACCCUGGUAGUCCACGCUGUAAACGAUGUCGAUUUGGAGUUUGUUGCCUUGAGUGAUGGGCUCCGAAGCUAACGCGAUAAAUCGACCGCCUGGGGAGUACGGCCGCAAGGUUAAAACUCAAAUGAAUUGACGGGGGCCCGCACAAGCGGUGGAGCAUGUGGUUUAAUUCGAUGCAACGCGAAGAACCUUACCUGGUCUUGACAUCCACAGAAUCUUGCAGAGAUGCGAGAGUGCCUUCGGGAACUGUGAGACAGGUGCUGCAUGGCUGUCGUCAGCUCGUGUUGUGAAAUGUUGGGUUAAGUCCCGCAACGAGCGCAACCCUUAUCCUUUGUUGCCAGCGGUUUGGCCGGGAACUCAAAGGAGACUGCCGUUGAUAAAGCGGAGGAAGGUGGGGACGACGUCAAGUCAUCAUGGCCCUUACGACCAGGGCUACACACGUGCUACAAUGGCGUAUACAAAGGGAGGCGA